rnacentral:ncRNA from 1 species
AUAACCUUUUCGGGUCGCUGCCCAUUCAGCGAUCGGGUGUGGUAGCCCGGAUU